GUCAUGCUCCACCACCACUGGAGCCACAAGGAUAACCAUCUCCAGGGCAGCCAGAACCAGUUGGGUACUACGGUGAGGCACCACAACCCCCAGGAACCCCUAGUUAUCAGGGAUACUUUAAUGAUCAAUACCCACCUCCUGAUCACAUCCACCACGACCAGCCUGAUGAUACAAGUGGCUGUUGUUUCUUUUUAAAGGGCUGGAACAAGUGCACGUGUUUGAAAGUAGCUGUGGAACCUUGGGGAGCAACUGGCUAGAAGGAUUUGCACCGGAGUCGGGCCGAAAUCGCUUUCAAGUUUUGCUACUCUUUGUUGCUGCUGUUUGUUGGAGCAGUGCUGCAGCUACUUCUAAUUGGCUGGUUGCCAUGAGCCUAAAUAUCAUGAGUGUUGUGUUAAAUAUUUUCGAAUGAUGGAGCUGCUUGGUUGAAAUUUUGGGGGACUCGUUAGAUAUUUAACAUGUAUGUAUUGAAACUACUUUAUUAUCUGUACUGCAUCCAUGAUGAUUAUGAAAGCAUAAUUGUAAGGAAUCUAUCUGCAUCAUUAUGGUAAAUUAUUUGUACUUUAAUAGAGAAAGUAAUCCUCAUAGAUUGGUAAUUGCUUAA